CCUUCGCCCUGGAGCGGUGGUUUUAGGGGCCGCCACCGAACCCGUCCCUGCGCCCGCGCUGGAGACGAGACGACCCGACUUUCUGACCCAGCGGGAAGUGCUGGCGCAGGUGGUCUCGAAUGCGUGUUCCUCUUCGCCUCUGAUGUCUGGGAGGGGAAUUCAGCAGCCAGGACUCCCGUCUGGAGCUCUGACCCCAACUUCCUCCAUCCAGGCGCUAGAGAGGCGCCUGCAGCCGAGUCUCGGGUCCCGAGGGCCGCUCACCCUCUCUCCCUUUCCCUCUCUGCACCCCAGCCCGCGCUCUGUGCCCGCGCAUGUCCCUGUCCCGACCCGGGCUGGCCAUCUCCCUGCGCUGGGUCGGAUAAUCACAAGCCUCCCUCCCCCCUGAGACCGCUUCUGUUUUAAGAUUGCGCAUGGCGAGGCGUCCAGUAAGUGUUACGGAAUGAAUGCGUGAGCGUGUGAUGCCCCCCGUGCCUCCCUGAGCCAGGCAGAGGGCCCCCUCCUCUCAACGCCCCCUCUCCCCAUGACCAAGACCAGGUGGCCGCACCAGCCUCAGUCCCGCUGGGGGCCCUUGCUGCUUCUCUGCCCAUAGACCCUGGGCCGCAAGGUGGCCACCUCUCAGGUGUGCCUCCCAGGGAUCCUCAGGCAUUCCUGUCCCCAUGUUGGGUGAGACCUGAGGUGGAGGAGGAAUCUGGAACACUGCUGAGGAGAGGCUCUUCCUACAGAUCUGGGCCGGGCUGGGGGUGGGGUGGGGGAGGGUUGGGGGCUUGCUCUGAGCCCCCAGGAAGCCCUGCCCCCAGCUUCUCUAUGUUCCUGGCCUGGUCAACCUGCUUCCUGCCCUCUGGACUGGAGUAGGUGGGCACUGCUGGAAACUGUGACUGGGACAGUGCCUUGUCUCUCAGGCUGUGGAAAGCAGCUUCUUUGACUUCUUCUUUGACUAUCUUGGAAAAUGGCCCCAAUUUUCUGGAAGAGGGAAGGAGGAUCUGGUUCUCGGAACAUUCCCGCUUCUUCUUCUCGCAGGGGUCCCUUGCUCAGUUGCACACGAAGGCUGGAGCAUCUGUGGCCCACACUGGCAGAGGCCCGGGGUUGAGUGGUCCCCCGACAGGCAUCCCAGCCCUGGCUCAGCUCCUGGCAGCGGCUCUGGGUGGGCCUGGCUACUCUCUCAUGCCUGUCCUCUGCCUCCUUCACCCCUGCCCCCACUCACAGGCAGGUCAGGAAGGCCUGUGAGGGCCCCAGUGGGGGCUCCCUGAGGAGCUCUCUUAGGCUGUAAAUGGCAUCCCACAUCCCGGGGCUGCUCCGUCCCAGGACCCAGCUCCCUUUGCCACCUCUCUUUCUUCUCCCACUGUGCUUUUUCUCUGGGUGGCCUCUCUGGCCAAGUCUUGCUGAGCAGGGAAGGACCAAUAGGUCAAGGGCAGGAGGAAGCUGGGGCCUUGCUACCUCUGGGCAGUGACACUCUGGGCUCUGGGACCACGUGUGACUAAGGGGGAUGAGUGCCGGUGGAUUCAUUCCGGGUCAGAAAAUGCAGGCGCUCUGGCACUUUUCCGGAGGUGGUGGGACCCUCUUUCUGUCUUUUCCUCCAGCAGUGCCGUCGUGUUCUUCAGGCUUCCCACCAGGGUGUCCCCAUUCUAGAGGGCCGUCUGGCAGUCUCACGGAACCCUGGGUCGGCAGGUGUCUCGGGGACUGUGGUACUCUUCAUCUGAACCCUUUGUGCAAACACUGCCCCUGGCAGGCCGUGCCCCCCGAGUCGUGGUACCUGGACUGCCCCUGGCAGGCCGUACCCCCCGGGUCAUGGUACCCGGGCUCCGUCACGAUUCCCCAGCAAGCCUCGGGCCCUCGCUUCUGCAUCCGGCUGCUCUCGGGCUGAGCUGGCCUUGUCACACAGCUGCAUGACCCUCAGGGGCUGCGUUCACGUUUUCUGACCUUGAAUCUCGCACUGAGCGCCAUGCCACACGCACGGGACACUCAGCAUGGGUGUCCCUUCUUCUGGCUGCUGCUUGCCAGCUCUGUCACCAGCCUGGGCUCUGGGCGGUGACCGGGCUCCCGUUAGUCCGCAUGUCUGCUUUAAGGCAUCCUCAGUCGGCCCAGCUCGCUACCUCUGCUUGAGGAGCUGAGUCCCUGAGUGUCUCUCACACUCUCCUCUCACCUCCUCUCCUGCCCCCUCCUGCCUUUCCUAUCACAAAGGGUCGCCCCAGCUCCUCACAUGUACUCAGAACUGCUGCAGGUUCCAGAAGAAUCCUGGGGCUCGAGGAACCCACCCAGCAGGCAGUCUGCCCCCCCCACCCCCCGCUGGCCACUUUCUGGCCUCCCUGGGCCCUUCUCUCCACAUGCACCGCUCUCAGGAAGCCCUGCUCUUCCCUGUCCAAGGGGAAGGCCUCACUCACCCCCGCCUCGGUGACCCCGGGACAGCUCUGUUCCCCCUGCCUCAGCAGCUCUCCCCUCCUCCGGUAGGGUCAGCAGAUUUUCUCCUUUGCCUUUUGGGCCCCCGGCUCUGGGCCACAUGAUCCCAAGCUCCGUCACAGCUCCCCAACUCUCGGUUCGCCUGCAACCUGUGACCUUGUUCUCUAAGGCCUUAAGGUUUUCUCAUUUGCCCCAGAGUUACCUAAAGGGCUGAAGGGCAGUGGGCGGGCCCCCCACCCCCAAGGACCAGGGCACUAUCUGGUCACCCAAGCUUCCUCAAGGGAGAGUCAUGAAAAAUUUCUGAUUUUCGCAUGGUCACAGAACAAAAGGAACCCCUAAUUGCCUCACACCGUAGCCCACUAAUCUAGCGGAUGAUUAUAUUGUAUCUUAGGAAAAAUAUUUGACCUCCAGGGGUGAAGUUCGAGCAUGCAUUGGCGGGGGGGCAUCCUGGGGGUCUGCUGUCACGGGGUGUGCCAAAUCGCGUGCCUGCCCUUUCCCCUACCCACCCCAGUUCCCUCAAGGCUGAGACUCAUUGAAAGUUGCAACUGGUUUUUCUCUUGGAAUCUGUGGAGAAGGGGCAGAGUUUUGCCUUCCGAGCAUGGAGGCUCGAGCCAGAGUCAUCGCUCUCAUUAAAUAAGUACAAUUCAUUGAGCACCUGCUCUGUGCUGUGCACCCUGCUAGGUGGUCUGAGGGGACCCAAGUGAACGGGGCAGACACACAGACUGCCCUCACCCUCUUUGACGUCAGUUCAAAUCCCAGUUCUGGCAAUUACUGUGCAAGCUCAGGCAGAUGACUGAAUCUUUCUGAGCUUCCGUUCUGUUAGCCAUCCAGGGAGGCUGGGCAUUCCUGCCUCGCUGCUCCUGCCUGCAGGAUAGUAUGUGCUCAAUAAAUGGCCGCUGUUCUUCUUCUGGGCUACAGGGUGUCCUCUUUCUUCUCACAUGGAAAUUACCCAGGAAGCUCCUGGACUUUGGCUCUGGACUCAGCCGGCUGUCCUGAGUUUUUGAGUCAUGAAGGAUUCUGGGGGAGUUGGCCAGUGGGCCCCAGGUCCUUGCCAGGCUGUGCAGAGUGACCCAGGGCUGGAGCUGUCACUAUGUCCUGUUCUAAUUUCUGUUUCUCUGUGUGCUUUGUAAUCGGGCCACUCUUUCAGUCAGCUAGAGUUGUUAAUGACCUUGAGAAAGGACCCCAGCCCUGAAUAUAGAACGCUACUCUUUUGAAGUCACCCACUUUUCUUUGUGGGUCUCAACGUGUGUGUGUUUUCCCUCAUGGGCAUGCCUUCCCUUCCGCUUUGAUGCUGCCUCUGUAACAACAGGGUUUGGAAUUAUUAAUUCUCAGUGCACAGUGAGGUACAGUUUUAUUGCACAGAAAAGGGGAAAAUGUAAUUGCUGUCUCGAGUAAUCAUUUUUGGAAGGCUGCGAGCAUAACCUUUCAUUAACAUUUCAUCUGCAGCCAAGGUGGGUAACUGGGAUAGGAUAAAAAUGUUGUUGUCCCCUAUGCAUGGAGAGAUUUCGAGCUAGGGGACACUGGGCCAGUGUGUGCUUUACAGUUGUUUGCAAUUAUUUCUAAAAUUAAAGAUGAUUAACCCAUUAGCCCAUAAGAAAGUGGAGGAGAGGCUUAUGGAGACACAGCUCUUUACUGAGUGGCUUAAAGGUGCAAAUCCCAGGCAGAACCCACCUCAGCCUUUCCACUGGGGGAGCCGUGUCACCCGCCUCUGCAAUGGAUUUGGGGCAUGGGGUCUGGCUCCCUGGUCAAAGCCAAGCUCCCGGGCCAUGGGGACAGACAUUCACAGCUCACUGGGUUGAAGGACACAUGGGAAAUGCUGUGGGCUUUGAUGUUCUCUGGAGUGAAGGCACUUGCAGUGUUCAGAGUGUCUCUAGGGAGAGGGCCAAAGGCUGAUUCCUGGACUGGGAACCCGGACUGCUUUUGGGGCAGGGAGGCAGGCCUCUGGGGAGGUGGGGGGCAGGAUCUUUGGUGACUAACAGCAAUCCUUCCCAGGCCUGGGGAGUCUGGCUAGUUGGAGACCCAGGGCUGGCUCCUGGGAGUAGGGGUGACUACAGUCCCCACUUCUCAUGGCCUCACAUGAUUUCACAGACAUGAGCCCAUCUGGCCGCAGGAACAGCCCCCUGAGAUCUGUGGGAAGGUGGUGACAUCAGCAGUUACCACACUGGCCGGUUGACUUUCAUCUCAUGGGAGCCUCUGAAGCUGGGGCUUUUGGCUCAAAUUAUUGAUUCCCGAGGUCCCCUGGCCUUAGGUGAGCUGGGACUGGUCAGUGGCCUGGCUGGGUGCAGGCGACUGUGGAUCCUGGCAGGGGUGUGGGCUGCUCAGCGUUUGGUGACCUUGCUCUUGCCUGCCAGGCCUCCCUUCCUGUUUGUAUCUGCAGGGGUCCUGACUCCUAACCCAGGGCACGCCCACAUGAAGGGGUGAUUGCCAAACUGUAUAACCAUCCCUGGGAGUUUUAAGAAUAUCCCUGCUCAACCCUGGAGUUGCUGUGUUUCUGAUUCUUGGGCUUACUGUGUUUUCUGGGAAAAAUAAAUAAAAAACAUUGGCUAGUAGAUUUAUUGCCACAUAGCAUUAGUGACAAAGGGGGUUGGUUGUCUUAGUUAUUAAGAAUCUGGAGAUUUCUAGAUGUGCUCACAUUUGUGCCCAAGGGGUGCGUCUUGGCGAGGUUCUGUCUUUGGGAGAAAGGCCACAGUGUAGGUAAGCCCUGAGACUGGGCUGGGGGCCAUGGGGGAGGCUGGAGAGGCAUGGGGACUUGAGGAGCAGCCGUGAGAUUCGGUGUUUCUUUUUCUCACGACCUGGAGCAGGGAGGAAGAAGAUGGCAGGACAGAGGCUGAUGGUGGACCUCUCUGUGCCUGGUGCUCUCUGGUGGUCUCGUGGGACCUGCUGGCUGGGGGUCCCAUUCUGCACAUGGGGAAAUGGAAGUCCUCGGAGACAAAAACAACACCCAGGGGCCAGAACGAGCACAUAUGAGCAGACUUCUUAGAGCAAUGUUUAUAAAAGCCAAAGCCUGGAAACACCUGCACUGAAGUCCCCUAGUAGGGCUCAGUCGGAUCUAUGACACAGCCUUCAGUAGCAUUAUCUGGUGUUUGUUAGAAAAAGAGCCGUCCACGUACAGCCACGACAGCUGCUUACAUGACAUUAAAUAAAGAAAAGCGAAGGACACGUUGCGCACCGUGUGGACACACUUGAUUUCCGUGGCAGUUUCACACAGACGCACGCCGGGCACUGGCAGCCCCUGGAGACGCAGCCCCGACUUCCCUGUGCAGCUUCAACAGCAGCAUUGGUGGCUGAUGUCUUGGGCCUAAGCUCCCUGUGACCUUGAGACGCCUCCAGAGAGCCACGGCUGCCCCGGAGGAAGUUGCCUGCUGCCCUGUUCAGGGGAAGUCCUGUAGUAAGUGCUCCGGCAUGGUGGGGGGAGGGGCUGCAGGCAGGGGAGACUGGGAUGACCCCAACUUUGAACUGAAGACUUCCUGGGGGGCAGCACCUCAGAACUGUUCAAAUAAUUGCACGGAGUCCCUUCAUUUCUACAGGGGGAGAAACCCAGGCCCAGAGAGGGAAAGUGAUGUGUCCGAGGUCACAGAGCAAGGUCAUGGUGGGGCUCAGCAGGUUCCCCAGGACCCUCUGGGCAGAACUCCGGAGCCUGUGCUGGGUGGGAGUGGACCAGGGCUGCACCCGCCUUCCCGCGUGCCUGUUUUCUUCUCCUUAGGGUCAUCUCCACUGUCCUUUUUCUCUCUCUUCCUCCUCCUUCUGCUUGCAACCCCCUCAGUUUGGUCUACAUACCCCCCAUCAGAGCAGAGGAACUCGGGGCGACUUGGUGAGCCCCCGGGUGAGGAUCUGGUUUGAUGCGUUCCCCUUGGACCCCUUGAACGUCCCCGUGUGUGCUGUGUGCACGUGUGCGGUGAUGGUGCGUGAGCGUGCACGUGUAUGUGAGCACACGCGUGCUGUGUGGUGGAGGAGACAAGGGUGACCCCCAGCCACAGGAGUGUUUGAAAUGCCCCAGAUGCAGGGACAGCCCUAGGCUGCCGUGUCCCUGUUCUGCCGGCUGCCAGCGGGAGACGUGUGUCCCCAGAGCCCGUCCCUCCCAGCAGAGCCUGGGACUCUGGGUUAAGAGAGGCAAGCUCUCAGAAAUAGUAAACCACCGUUUUCUCGC